rnacentral:rRNA from 1 species
GAUGAACGCUGGCGGCGUGCCUAAUACAUGCAAGUCGAGCGAACAGACGAGGAUCUUGCUCCUCUGACGUUAGCGGCGGACGGGUGAGUAACACGUGGAUAACCUACCUAUAAUACUGGGAUAACUUCGGGAAACCGGAGCUAAUACCGGAUAACAUGUUGAACCGCAUGGUUCAACAGUGAAAGACGGUCUUGCUGUCACUUAUAGAUGGAUCCGCGCCGCAUUAGCUAGUUGGUAAGGUAACGGCUUACCAAGGCAACGAUGCGUAGCCGACCUGAGAGGGUGAUCGGCCACACUGGAACUGAGACACGGUCAAGACUCCUAAGGGAGGCAGCAGUAGGGAAUCUUCCGCAAUGGGCGAAAGCCUGACGGAGCAACGCCGCGUGAGUGAAGAAGGUCUUCGGAUCGUAAAACUCUGUUAUUAGGGAAGAACAAAUGUGUAAGUAAAUAUGCACGUCUUGACGGUACCUAAUAAGAAAGCCACGGCUAACUACGUG